ACGGAGGGUGCAAGCGUUACUCGGAAUCAUUGGGCGUAAAGCGCACGUAGGCGGUCUCUUAAGUCCGGCGUGAAAUCCUGGGGCUCAACCUCAGAUGGCCGUUGGAAACUAAGAGACUUGAGAGUGGAAGGGGUCAGUGGAAUUCCUGGUGUAGGAGUGAAAUCCGUAGAGAUCAGGAGGAACACCGGUGGCGAAGGCGACUGACUGGGCCAUUUCUGACGCUAAUGUGCAAAAGCGUGGGGAGCAAACAG
rnacentral:rRNA from 1 species